rnacentral:rRNA from 1 species
CCAGACUCCUACGGGAGGCAGCAGUGGGGAAUAUUGCACAAUGGGGGAAACCCUGAUGCAGCGACGCCGCGUGAGCGAUGAAGUAUUUCGGUAUGUAAAGCUCCAUCAGCAGGGAAGAAAAUGACGGUACCUGACUAAGAAGCCCCGGCUAACUACGUGCCAGCAGCCGCGGUAAUACGUAGGGGGCAAGAGUUAUCCGGAUUUACUGGGUGUAAAGGGAGCGUAGACGGCGGUGCAAGCCAGAUGUGAAAGCCCGGGGCUCAACCCCGGGACUGCAUUUGGAACUGUGCUGCUAGAGUGUCGGAGAGGCAGGCGGAAUUCCUAGUGUAGCGGUGAAAUGCGUAGAUACUAGGAGGAACACCAGUGGCGAGGGCGGCCUGCUGGUCGAUGACUGACGUUGAGGCUCGAAAGCGUGGAGAGCAAACAGGAUUAGAGACCCCGGUAU